CAGCCCGGCGGCUUCACGGAUGCCCGCUUGGACGGCCAGCAGCCGAGGUGGCCGGUGGCUGGGGUCCUAGAGCGCUCUUGCCAGCCUCUGGCACUCAGUGUCCUCUGGAGCACACUGGAGCGACCACGCCUCGGGUUCUGCAGGGCUUGCAUUUGAUAGGUUGAGAAACUGAAGCUCAGGCGUGAGAGCCCAGUACCCUGAGGACAUAAAAUCAACAAGGAACAGAGCUGGCGUACUGGCCAGGGUGAAUUGCCGAUUGAUUUGUUAUUUAUCCCACUGACAACAAAGCGAGUGAAAAGCUUGUCCUUGGAAUGUUCACUGCUCUCCCUGUUUUGGAAUGGUCCUUGGCAUACAGUUGGAACUUCAUAAAUAAUUGUCCAAAUGAGAGGACAAAGGCUGAGCAAAGGAGAAGCCCAACCAGGCAGGCAAUCCGGUAAUGUCAGACACACCCUGGCUCAGGCCCAGCCUGCUUCCACACUGGACAGAUAUGUGGUGGAUCCCUCCUUCCAUGUAACAAGUACACCUCAAAAAUCUACAUGCAGUUCCAUGGCGUGCCUGGGCCCCAGGUGGACCCAGCACCAGCCCUCAUGGACUACAUUCUAAAAUGAAGCUCUGGGGGUCCCCUCAGCUCCCAGACUCCCUGGUCAGCCCUCAGCCAUCCAACAGAUACUGAAACAUAACAGUCAUGGCCCCAAAUUCCUAUGACG